GGGUGCUCCAAGUGGGCCAUUUUUGGUGAGCAGAACUCGCGAUGCGAGAUGAACCGAAAGUCGGGUUACGGUGCCCAACUGCAUGCUAACCUAGAACCCAUGAAGAUUUUUGGUCGAUUAAGAUAGCAUGACGGUGGUCAUGGAAGUCGAAAUCUGCUACAGAGUGUGUAAUAACUCACCCGUCGAAUCAACUAGCCCUGAAACUGGAUGGAGCUAAAGCGCGCGACCCACACCCGGCCAUCUGGGCGAGCGCCAUGCCCCGAUG
rnacentral:ncRNA from 1 species